GUGCGGGCCCUGUGCAACGGAACACCGUGAACCAUGUCAGGCGGGGAACCGAGCAGCAUUAAGCGGAA
rnacentral:SRP_RNA from 1 species